rnacentral:lncRNA from 1 species
ACCCAAAUUCCCAAAAUCCCCAAAUUCCCAACCCCAAAAUUCCAAAUUUUAGUUCCAAAAUUCCCAGAAAUUCCUGCAAAAAUUUCCACAAAAAUUCUGAAUUUCACCCCCAAAUUCCCCAAUUUCCCUCCCAAUUUCCCAAUCCCAGAAACCCAAAUUCCCAAAAUUUGCAAAACUCUGUCCAAAAUUCCCAGAAUUUCCCGAUUUCGCUCCCAAAUGUUUCUCUUCCACGUUUCAAUUUUAGUCAGAAAUUCCCCCCAAAAAACCCCAAAUUUUUCCCCCAAAUUCCCAAUCCCAGCAUCCCAAAUUCCCAAAUUUUCAACCCAAAUCCCCAAAUUCCCAAUCCGGAAUCCCAAAUCCCCGAAUUCCAGCCCAAAAAUUCCCAAAAUUCCCCAAUUUCAUUCCAAAAUUUUUCUCUUUCGCUGCUGCAUUUCAGUCAAAAAUCAGCACAAAAAAAACUAAAAAAUGCCCAAAAUUCGUCAGAAUUUCGCCCAAAUUUCACCCAAAAUCCCUCAAAAUCAUCCCAAAAUUCCCAAAAUUCCCGGAUUCCCACCCGGAAUUUGUGGCAGAAGUCGUCGAUGCUGCCGAUCUCCCCGCCCUGCCCCUGUUCGAGCGCCGCCUUGAACUGCACCAGAAGGCGCCAGCAAAAAUCCCAAAAUUCCCAAUCCCAGCAUCCCAAAUUCCCAAAUUUUCACCCCAAAUCCCCAAAUUCCCAAUCCCAGAAUCCCAAAAAUCCCAAAUUUUCACCGCAAAUCCCCAAAUUCCCAAUCCCAGAAUCCCAAAAAUCCCAAAUUUUCACCCCAAAUCCCCAAAUUCCCCAUCUCAGAAUCCCAAAUCCCCGAAUUCCAGCCCCAAAAUUCCCCAAAUUCCCCAAUUUCAUUCCCAAAUUUUUCUCUUUUGCUGCUCCAUUUCAGGCAAAAAUCAGUGUAAAAAACCACAAGAAUAACCCAAAAAUCGCCCAAAAAUUGUCAGAAUUUCGCCCAACUUUCACUCAAAAUCCCUCAAAUUUUAC